UUGAAGAGUUUGAUCAUGGCUCAGAUUGAACGCUGGCGGCAGGCCUAACACAUGCAAGUCGAGCGGCAGCGACAACAUUGAAUCUUCGGAGGAUUUGUUGGGCGGCGAGCGGCGGACGGGUGAGUAAUGCCUAGGAAAUUGCCCUGAUGUGGGGGAUAACCAUUGGAAACGAUGGCUAAUACCGCAUGAUGCCUACGGGCCAAAGAGGGGGACCUUCGGGCCUCUCGCGUCAGGAUAUGCCUAGGUGGGAUUAGCUAGUUGGUGAGGUAAGGGCUCACCAAGGCGACGAUCCCUAGCUGGUCUGAGAGGAUGAUCAGCCACACUGGAACUGAGACACGGUCCAGACUCCUACGGGAGGCAGCAGUGGGGAAUAUUGCACAAUGGGCGCAAGCCUGAUGCAGCCAUGCCGCGUGUGUGAAGAAGGCCUUCGGGUUGUAAAGCACUUUCAGUAGGGAGGAAGGUUCAUGCGUUAAUAGCGUAUGGAUUUGACGUUACCUACAGAAGAAGCACCGGCUAACUCCGUGCCAGCAGCCGCGGUAAUACGGAGGGUGCGAGCGUUAAUCGGAAUUACUGGGCGUAAAGCGCAUGCAGGUGGUUUGUUAAGUCAGAUGUGAAAGCCCGGGGCUCAACCUCGGAAUUGCAUUUGAAACUGGCAGACUAGAGUACUGUAGAGGGGGUAGAAUUUCAGGUGUAGCGGUGAAAUGCGUAGAGAUCUGAAGGAAUACCGGUGGCGAAGGCGGCCCCCUGGACAGAUACUGACACUCAGAUGCGAAAGCGUGGGGAGCAAACAGGAUUAGAUACCCUGGUAGUCCACGCCGUAAACGAUGUCUACUUGGAGGUUGUGGCCUUGAGCCGUGGCUUUCGGAGCUAACGCGUUAAGUAGACCGCCUGGGGAGUACGGUCGCAAGAUUAAAACUCAAAUGAAUUGACGGGGGCCCGCACAAGCGGUGGAGCAUGUGGUUUAAUUCGAUGCAACGCGAAGAACCUUACCUACUCUUGACAUCCAGAGAAGCCAGUAGAGAUACAGGUGUGCCUUCGGGAACUCUGAGACAGGUGCUGCAUGGCUGUCGUCAGCUCGUGUUGUGAAAUGUUGGGUUAAGUCCCGCAACGAGCGCAACCCUUAUCCUUGUUUGCCAGCGAGUAAUGUCGGGAACUCCAGGGAGACUGCCGGUGAUAAACCGGAGGAAGGUGGGGACGACGUCAAGUCAUCAUGGCCCUUACGAGUAGGGCUACACACGUGCUACAAUGGCGCAUACAGAGGGCAGCCAACUUGCGAAAGUGAGCGAAUCCCAAAAAGUGCGUCGUAGUCCGGAUUGGAGUCUGCAACUCGACUCCAUGAAGUCGGAAUCGCUAGUAAUCGUGGAUCAGAAUGCCACGGUGAAUACGUUCCCGGGCCUUGUACACACCGCCCGUCACACCAUGGGAGUGGGCUGCAAAAGAAGUAGGUAGUUUAACCUUUCGGGGAGGACGCUUACCACUUUGUGGUUCAUGACUGGGGUGAAGUCGUAACAAGGUAGCGCUAGGGGAACCUGGCGCUGGAUCACCUCCUU
rnacentral:rRNA from 1 species